rnacentral:rRNA from 1 species
AGUGAACGCUGGCGGUAGGCCUAACACAUGCAAGUCGAACGGCAGCACAGUAAGAGCUUGCUCUUACGGGUGGCGAGUGGCGGACGGGUGAGGAAUACAUCGGACUCUACUUUUUCGUGGGGGAUCACGUAGGGAAACUUACUCUCAUACCGCAUACGCCCUACGGUUGAAAGCAUUGGAUCUUCUGACCUUGCGCGAUUGAAUGAGCCGAUUUCGGAUUAGCUAGUUGGCGGGGUAAAGGCCCACCCAGGCGACGAUCCGUAGCGAGUCUGAGAGGAUGAUCAGGCACACUGGAACUGAGACACGGUACAGACGCCUACGGGAGGCAGCAGUGGGGAAGAGUGGACAAUGGGCGCAAGCCUGAUCCAGCCAUACCGGGUGGGUGAAGAAGGCCUGCGGGUUGUAAAGCGCUUUUGUGGGGAAAGAAAAGCAGCAGGUUAAUACCACGCUGUUCUGACGGUACCCAAAGAAUAAGCACCGGCUAACUUCGU